rnacentral:lncRNA from 1 species
UGUUAAUAAUGUUCAGCAAAGUAAGAUCUACAAAAAAGUCAACAUGACCAAAAUGGUCAGUUGACCCCUUAAGGGGUUAUUGCCCUUUAUAGUCAAUUUUGUCAAUUUUUCGUAACUUUUUGUUAUCUUGUACAAAAAUCUUCUCCUCUGAAACUACUGAGACAAAUUUAACAUCAUUAAAGUAUGUAGUUUUAAAAAUGUGUCCAAUGACCCUGCCUGCAAACCAAGACGGCCAAAAUGGAGUAAAAUGCAGUUUUUGGCUAAAAUCUCAGAAACCAAAGCAUUUAAAGCAAAUCUGACGAAGAUUAAUUUGUUCGUUAGUUCAAAGUCUAUCUGACCAAUCAGGCAUCCCGUUGUUGGGUUGCUGCCCCAGAAUUGGUAAUUUUCAGAAAAUUUUGCAGCUUUUGGUUAUUAUCUUGAAUAUUAUUAUAGAUACAGAUAAACUGUAAACAGCAAUAAUGUACAGCAAAGUAAGACCUACAAAUAAGUCAACAUGAUCAAAAUGAUCAGUCGACCCUUUAAGGAGUUAUUGCCCUUUAUAGUCAAUUUUAAACAAUUUUCAUAAAUUUGUAAAUUUUGUAAAUUUUUAUUCGUUUAUGAUAUGCCCAUAGACCAAGGUGAGCGACACAGGCUCUUUAGAGCCUCUAGUUU